rnacentral:rRNA from 1 species
UGGCGCACGGGUGCGUAACGCGUGGGAACCUGCCUUUAGGUUCGGAAUAACAGUUAGAAAUGACUGCUAAUACCGGAUAAUGUCUUCGGACCAAAGAUUUAUCGCCUUUAGAUGGGCCCGCGUUAGAUUAGAUAGUUGGUGGGGUAAUGGCCUACCAAGUCGACGAUCUAUAGCUGGUCUGAGAGGAUGAUCAGCCACACUGGGACUGAGACACGGCCCAGACUCCUACGGGAGGCAGCAGUGGGGAAUAUUGGACAAUGGGCGAAAGCCUGAUCCAGCAAUGCCGCGUGAGUGAUGAAGGCCUUAGGGUUGUAAAGCUCUUUUACCAGGGAUGAUAAUGACAGUACCUGGAGAAUAAGCUCCGGCUAACUCCGUGCCAGCAGCCGCGGUAAUACGGAGGGAGCUAGCGUUGUUCGGAAUUACUGGGCGUAAAGCGCACGUAGGCGGCUUUUCAAGUCAGGGGUGAAAUCCCGGGGCUCAACCCCGGAACUGCCCUUGAAACUGGAUGGCUAGAAUACUGGAGAGGUGAGUGGAAUUCCGAGUGUAGAGGUGAAAUUCGUAGAUAUUCGGAAGAACACCAGUGGCGAAGGCGACUCACU